rnacentral:rRNA from 1 species
UACGAAGGGUGCAAGCGUUACUCGGAAUUACUGGGCGUAAAGCGUGCGUAGGUGGUGAGUUAAGUCUGUCGUGAAAGCCCCGGGCUCAACCUGGGAAUGGCGAUGGAUACUGGCUCGCUAGAGUGCGGUAGAGGAGAGUGGAAUUCCCGGUGUAGCAGUGAAAUGCGUAGAGAUCGGGAGGAACAUCAGUUGCGAAGGCGGCUCUCUGGACCAGCACUGACACUGAGGCACGAAAGCUAGGGGAGCGAAAGGG